GGACGCGUAGCUCAGUCUGGAUGAGAGCAGCGGCCUUUUAAGCCGAAGUGCGCAAGUUCGAAUCUUGCCGCGUCCA
rnacentral:tRNA from 2 species